rnacentral:rRNA from 1 species
CCUACGGGAGGCAGCAGUGGGGAAUAUUGGGCAAUGGGCGCAAGCCUGACCCAGCAACGCCGCGUGAAGGAAGAAGGCUUUCGGGUUGUAAACUUCUUUUUUCAGGGACGAAGAAAGUGACGGUACCUGAGGAAUAAGCCACGGCUAACUACGUGCCAGCAGCCGCGGUAAUACGUAGGUGGCAAGCGUUAUCCGGAUUUACUGGGUGUAAAGGGCGUGUAGGCGGGACUGCAAGUCAGAUGUGAAAACCACGGGCUCAAACUGUGGCCUGCCUUUGAAACUGUAGUUCUUGAGUACUGGAGAGGCAGGCGGAAGUCCUAGUGUAGCGGUGAAAUGCGUAGAUAUUAGGGAGAACCCC